GUCGGUUCUACCCGAAGUGGUUGAGCCAACCCGCAAGGGAGGUGGACGGCCAAGGUGAAGCCUCUGACUGGGACUAAGUCGUAACAAGGUAUCCGUAGGUGAACCUGCAGAAGGAUCA
rnacentral:rRNA from 1 species